rnacentral:rRNA from 1 species
GACGAACGCUGGCGGCGUGCCUAAUACAUGCAAGUAGGACGCACAGUUUAUACCGUAGCUUGCUACACCAUAGACUGUGAGUUGCGAACGGGUGAGUAACGCGUAGGUAACCUGCCUAUUAGAGGGGGAUAACUAUUGGAAACGAUAGCUAAUACCGCAUAACAGUAUGUAACACAUGUUAGAUGCUUGAAAGAUGCAAUUGCAUCGCUAGUAGAUGGACCUGCGUUGUAUUAGCUAGUAGGUAGGGUAAUGGCCUACCUAGGCGACGAUACAUAGCCGACCUGAGAGGGUGAUCGGCCACACUGGGACUGAGACACGGCCCAGACUCCUACGGGAGGCAGCAGUAGGGAAUCUUCGGCAAUGGGGGGAACCCUGACCGAGCAACGCCGCGUGAGUGAAGAAGGUUUUCGGAUCGUAAAGCUCUGUUGUUAAGGAAGAACGAGUUGAAAAUGGAAAG